rnacentral:rRNA from 1 species
GAUGAACGCUGGCGGCGUGCUUAACACAUGCAAGUCGAACGGUGAAGCAGGAGCUUGCUCUUGUGGAUCAGUGGCGAACGGGUGAGUAACACGUGAGCAACCUGCCCCUGACUCUGGGAUAAGCGCUGGGAACGGCGUCUAAUACUGGAUAUGUGAUGUGACCGCAUGGUCUGCAUCUGGAAAGAAUUUCGGUUGGGGAUGGGCUCGCGGCCUAUCAGGUUGUUGGUGAGGUAAUGGCUCACCAAGGCGUCGACGGGUAGCCGGCCUGAGAGGGUGACCGGCGACACUGGGACUGAGACACGGCCCAGACUCCUACGGGAGGCAGCAGGGGGGAAUAUUGCACAAUGGGCGGAAGCCUGAUGCAGCAACGCCGCGUGAGGGAUGACGGCCUUCGGGUUGUAACCCUCUUUGAGCAGGGAAGAAGCGAAAGUGACGGUACCUGCAGAAAAAGCACCGGCUAACUACGUGCCAGCAGCCGCUAGUAA